rnacentral:misc_RNA from 1 species
GAACGCACCUUGCGCCCCUUGGCAUUCCGAGGGGCACACCCGUUUGAGUGUCGUGAAAUUCUCAAAAACCCUUUCCUUUGAUGGGAUUUUUGGACUUGGAGGUUCAAUGCUCGCCUUCAGCUUCUGAAAGCGAGCUCCUCUCAAAUAAAUUAGUGGGGUCCGCUUUGCUGGUCCUUGACGUGAUAAGAUGUUUCUACGUUUUGGAUUUGGCACUGUCCCUUUGGAUCCUGCUCCUAACUCGUCCGUCUCACGGACAACGAUGGUGCUUCGGUCACCGCCAUUUACAUCGGCGGGAGGCUGGACCCACAAAAACGAACCUUGACCUCAAAUCGGGUGAGACUACCCGCUGAACUUAAG